GAUUCCCUCUUUAAACAUUUUCACACCCAAAAAAAAUUCCCUCCCAACCCAAUUCCUCUUCCAAUUUCAAACUCCCCCUCAUUUUUUUUGCUUGUAUUCCUCGCCUUCCUUUUUCUUCCCUACAUUGAUUUCCUUUCAACUAGAUCCACUCCCAACCAAAUGCGCAGAAGUUGAAGAUUGCCCGUGAGAGGAAUCUGGACAAGCUUAAGCUUCUUCCAAAGGAAAUGCGUAGAACCCUAAUUCUUCUUUCUCUUUCUAAUUCGUUCUGAUUUCACCCUUCUGAUUGAUUGAUAUGUGUACAGGUAGUGAACUUGAAGCCAACAAAAAAGCUAUGAAGAUCCAGUUUCGGUAGGUGAGUUGUGGACGUUUCUCCAAGGUGUUUCGAUCACACUCGCUAAUCGCUAAAGCCGCCAGUCACCCCUACUUCGAGUGACUACCAUCACACCACCGCAGGUUCGUGUGAUCGUGUCGUGUUUUCGGGUCGUGUCAGAGUGCUAAACCUUAUGCAGUUGCUGUGUUUUCCACAUGCUAUGUUGAUGUUUUA